GCCUGCGGUUAUAGCACGUUGAAUACUCGUAAAUCAGUUCUCAAUGGAUCACUGAACUUAAGCAACGUUUUGCGUGGUUGGUAUCUGGAUGGAUGACCAUCUGGACAAACGCGUGCUGCUGACC
rnacentral:rRNA from 1 species